rnacentral:rRNA from 1 species
GACAGAGGAUGCAAGCGUUAUCCGGAAUGAUUGGGCGUAAAGCGUCUGUAGGUGGCUUUUUAAGUCCGCCGUCAAAUCCCAGGGCUCAACCCUGGACAGGCGGUGGAAACUACCAAGCUGGAGUACGGUAGGGGCAGAGGGAAUUUCCGGUGGAGCGGUGAAAUGCGUAGAGAUUGGAAAGAACACCGAUGGCGAAGGCACUUUACUGGGCUAUUACUAACACUCAGA